CUUUGCAUAUCAAAUAAGCGGAGGAAAAGAAACCAACCGGGAUUGCCUUAGUAACGGCGAGUGAAGCGGCAAAAGCUCAAAUUUGAAAUCUGGUACCUUCGGUGCCCGAGUUGUAAUUUGGAGAGGGCAACUUUGGGGCCGUUCCUUGUCUAUGUUCCUUGGAACAGGACGUCAUAGAGGGUGAGAAUCCCGUGUGGCGAGGAGUGCGGUUCUUUGUAAAGUGCCUUCGAAGAGUCGAGUUGUUUGGGAAUGCAGCUCUAAGUGGGUGGUAAAUUCCAUCUAAAGCUAAAUAUUGGCGAGAGACCGAUAGCGAACAAGUACAGUGAUGGAAAGAUGAAAAGAACUUUGAAAAGAGAGUGAAAAAGUACGUGAAAUUGUUGAAAGGGAAGGGCAUUUGAUCAGACAUGGUGUUUUGUGCCCUCUGCUCCUUGUGGGUAGGGGAAUCUCGCAUUUCACUGGGCCAGCAUCAGUUUUGGUGGCAGGAUAAAUCCAUAGGAAUGUAGCUUGCCUCGGUAAGUAUUAUAGCCUGUGGGAAUACUGCCAGCUGGGACUGAGGACUGCGACGUAAGUCAAGGAUGCUGGCAUAAUGGUUAUAUGCCGCCCGUCUUGAACCACCGGACCAAA
rnacentral:rRNA from 1 species